AGAGUUUGAUCCUGGCUCAGGAUGAACGCUAGCUACAGGCUUAACACAUGCAAGUCGAGGGGCAGCAUGGUCUUAGCUUGCUAAGGCUGAUGGCGACCGGCGCACGGGUGAGUAACACGUAUCCAACCUGCCGUCUACUCUUGGCCAGCCUUCUGAAAGGAAGAUUAAUCCAGGAUGGCAUCAUGAGUUCACAUGUCCGCAUGAUUAAAGGUAUUUUCCGGUAGACGAUGGGGAUGCGUUCCAUUAGAUAGUAGGCGGGGUAACGGCCCACCUAGUCAACGAUGGAUAGGGGUUCUGAGAGGAAGGUCCCCCACAUUGGAACUGAGACACGGUCCAAACUCCUACGGGAGGCAGCAGUGAGGAAUAUUGGUCAAUGGGCGAUGGCCUGAACCAGCCAAGUAGCGUGAAGGAUGACUGCCCUAUGGGUUGUAAACUUCUUUUAUAAAGGAAUAAAGUCGGGUAUGCAUACCCGUUUGCAUGUACUUUAUGAAUAAGGAUCGGCUAACUCCGUGCCAGCAGCCGCGGUAAUACGGAGGAUCCGAGCGUUAUCCGGAUUUAUUGGGUUUAAAGGGAGCGUAGAUGGAUGUUUAAGUCAGUUGUGAAAGUUUGCGGCUCAACCGUAAAAUUGCAGUUGAUACUGGAUGUCUUGAGUGCAGUUGAGGCAGGCGGAAUUCGUGGUGUAGCGGUGAAAUGCUUAGAUAUCACGAAGAACUCCGAUUGCGAAGGCAGCCUGCUAAGCUGCAACUGACAUUGAGGCUCGAAAGUGUGGGUAUCAAACAGGAUUAGAUACCCUGGUAGUCCACACGGUAAACGAU
rnacentral:rRNA from 1 species